rnacentral:rRNA from 1 species
GAGAGCUUGCUCUCGGGUCGACGAGUCGGCGGACGGGUGAGUAAUGUCUGGGAAACUCGCCUCGAUCGGAGGGGGAUAACUCAUCUGGAAACGGUAGCUAAUACCGCAUAACGUNCGCAAGACCAAAGAGGGGGACCUUCGGGCCUCUUCGCCAUCAGAUCGUGCCCAGACGGGAUUAGCUAGUAGGCGGGGUAAUGGCCCACCUAGGCGACGAUCCCUAGCUGGUCUGAGAGGAUGACCAGCCACACUGGAACUGAGACACGGUCCAGACUCCUACGGGAGGCAGCAGUGGGGAAUAUUGCACAAUGGGCGCAAGCCUGAUGCAGCCAUGCCGCGUGUGUGGAAGAAGGCCUUCGGGUUGUAAAGCACUUUCAGCGGGGAGGAAGGCGGUACGGUUAAUAACCGUGCUGAUUGACGUUACCCGCAGAAGAAGCACCGGCUAACUCCGUGCCAGCAGCCGCGGUAAUACGGAGGGUGGCAAGCGUUAAUCGGAAUACUGGGCGUAAAGCGCACGCAGGCGGUCUGUCAAGUCGGAUGUGAAAUCCCCGGGCUCAACCUGGGAACUGCAUUCGAAACUGGCAG